AACGAUUGUAAAAAUAAAGUGGAUACAAAUUACACCUAAAUGGUAUCCUAUUAGUUGCCUAAUUAGCUAGUAACUCUACUUUUAAAAGUUUAUCAAAGUUUACACAACACACAUUGAUGUUUGAUUCACCUGUUUAAAUAGCUAUUUGCUGCACCCAAAAAGAUACCCACUAAGCUAAGUCCUGGGUUUCAAAAGUGACUCACGAAAAAUCACUUGAAUACGCAAUACAUGUGCAUUACAUGUUAAAUUAAGAUUGAAUCAAAUGUCUCAGAACAAAUACUCGUUAAUUUCAGAUUGCAUGUCAUUGUUCUUCCAUGACUCUAAUAAAAAUAAAAAAAAAUAAAUAAAU
rnacentral:misc_RNA from 1 species